rnacentral:rRNA from 1 species
CCUACGGGAGGCAGCAGUGAGGAAUAUUGGUCAAUGGGCGCGAGCCUGAACCAGCCAAGUCGCGUGAGGGAAGACGGUCCUAUGGAUUGUAAACCUCUUUUGUCGGGGAGCAAAAGACGCCACGCGUGGCGUUCCGAGAGUACCCGAAGAAAAAGCAUCGGCUAACUCCGUGCCAGCAGCCGCGGUAAUACGGAGGAUGCGAGCGUUAUCCGGAUUUAUUGGGUUUAAAGGGUGCGCAGGCGGAAGAUCAAGUCAGCGGUAAAAGUGAGAGGCUCAACCUCUUCGAGCCGUUGAAACUGGUUUUCUUGAGUGAGCGAGAAGUAUGCGGAAUGCGUGGUGUAGCGGUGAAAUGCAUAGAUAUCACGCAGAACUCCGAUUGCGAAGGCAGCAUACCGGCGCUCAACUGACGCUCAUGCACGAAAGUGUGGGUAUCGAACAGGAUUAGAUACCCUUGUGUC